UCGAAAGCGAUCUAUUCACGACUAGUCGUGUUUACCGAAAAAUUAACGAUGUUAGUUUAAUGACAACAACAUUGAAAAAUAUUCUAGAUCAACAUCAUUAAAAAGGAAUAAAUACAAUACAAUAUUUUAAAGGUAGGAAAACGGUUUAAUCAAUAUCUAUGACAAAAUCUGGUUAGAAACUCAGCUACGAUAGUUGUUGAAUAUUUAAUGACUCAGGUUUUCUUGUGGCUUUGAGAUGAUGGCAAAUCAACGAAACUAAAGUGUUUGUGACGACUGGAUCAACUUUAUUCACAUACUUUGAACAGUUUAAGUGCAUAGGGCGAUGGAUUUAAAAUUGCCAAAUUCACAAAACGAGCAGUAUUUCACUUCCAGGACUUCAACUCCUCUACCAAAGAGGAAACCUUUGGAUAAUCAAAAAUGCAGUAUUCAAUAUCAAAAGUUUUGCAAACAUCUUGAAAAACGGUUAAACUUCCCGGAGCCGGUGAACCAAGAUUUCAGUAUAUUAAUAUCACAACACCUACGAGACCGCUGCCGACUUUCGGAAAAACAUCUAGACAGAUUCAAUAAACUCGAAAUAGAAGAAUUUGACUUAAAAUGUACAAUUUCAACGAAAAUUCGCAAAAUACUGGAUUCAAGUUGUAAAAUAGUGGCCAAUGUUACUAAAAACGUUUUUAGUAAGUCACAUUUUGAUACACCAAGGUGAAAAUGGUUUUAAUUAUUACAAAAAAAGCAAUUUAUAGAUAUACAAUACAGUUUUAAGAGUCCCAGUGAAUAACUUACAUAAGCUUGGGCAUAUUUUACUCCGAUGACAAUUACUGUUUGUAAAUAAUUUAUAUUUUUUUAUGUAUUGCAUACAUAUCAUGUCAAACUAAUGCUUUGUAAUGUGGUACACACGUGUAUUAAAAACGAAUUAAAUUUUGAUAAAUGUUCAA
rnacentral:lncRNA from 1 species